UUACAAUCUGGAGCUGUGAUCCUUGGCUGAUGGAAGCCAUUUGAAAGUUACUAUCAACUACAAUUGUGAAAAAUCUUGCAAGAGUGACCACAAAAUUGCUUGGACUAAAUUGAAAACUGAGUCGGCAAGCAAAGCCCAGGCUGGGAACAUAACAGACUUCUACUACUUGGUCUGUUACAAGCCAGAACAUACAGUGCUGUGAGAUUUAUUUCUGAAAAUGGCAUGUUCAUUAUCAUAUUUUUUAGCAAAUGGAAAGAAAAUAAGUGUUCUAAAGCAUUCCAUAAUAAUCUUACCGUGAAAUGUGAGAUGAAAAGCAUUUGUGAACGUGUGUGCUUGUGUGUGUGUGUAGAAAUAGUUUAUCAAAUGAGUGGUUUCCUGUCUUGAUCUGUACAUUUAUUUUCUUCCAUGGAAGGAAAUGGAAAUAAUUGAUCUGCCUCCCAUCAGUACAUAAAAGAGAUUGUCGGCAAUUUUGUUUUCUGCAGGAACACUUACACAUUUGAUGUUGUAGUAAACAGUAAAGAUCACCUACAAAACCUGUAGCAAUCACAAGACUGGGUAGGCACACCCACGGGACUGAUGCAUUCCAUGAUUUGUAAAAUGUGGAUUUCUUUGCUUUCUCUCUCUCUCCCUUUUCUCCUUCUCUCUCUUUUGAGGAUACAGGAUGUCCCUCCAGGUUCUGCAGUCUGGGUUUGAUUAAAUAAUUAUAAACUUCAAGCAGCAGCUCUAUCAUUUACGUUCCUGAACAUGCCAACAUGUGCCUUUUGUGGUGAUGCCAACCAAUACCAAAGCUUCUCUCAUUAUUGUCAUUGAAAAUACAGUGGUUCAACGUUUGUGCUAUUUCCUGGAUUUUGGCGAUAUAAUGUUGCCCAGCAAUUUGCUGUUGGUGCCAACGACACUAAAGAACUUUAUAAUAAAUCCUUUCUAUAUUUACUCAA